rnacentral:rRNA from 1 species
GUGCCAGCAGCCGCGGUAACACGUAGGAUCCGAGCGUUAUCCGAAUUCACUGGGCGUAAAGCGCUUGCAGGCGGCUGGAUAAGUUGGAUGUGAAAUCUUCUGGCUCAACUGGGAGAGGCCGUUCAAGACUGUUCAGCUAGAGGGCAAUAGAGGGAGGUGGAAUUCCAGGUGUAGUGGUGAAAUGCGUAGAUAUCUGGAGGAACACCAGUGGCGAAAGCGGCCUCCUGGAUUGCAUCUGACGCUCAGAAGCGAAAGCUAGGGGAGCGAACGGGAUUAGAUACCCUAGUAGUCC